rnacentral:rRNA from 1 species
CAGUCGCCGCGGUAAUACGAAGGGUGCAAGCGUUGCUCGGAAUUAUUGGGCGUAAAGGGUAGGUAGGUGGUGAUAUUUGUCUGGGGUGAAAUCCCUGAGCUUAACUCAGGAAGUGCCUUGGAAACGGUAUCACUAGAGUACUGGAGAGGUUCGCAGAAUUCUUGGUGUAGCGGUGAAAUGCGUAGAGAUCAAGAGGAAUACCAGAGGCGAAGGCGGCGAACUGGACAGUAACUGACACUCAACUACGAAAGCGUGGGGAGCAAACAGGAUUAGAUACCCGAGUAGUCCCUGUCUCUUAUAC